UGUUUCUAGGUACAUCUACAUGAGCAUUUCAGCUGUGGUCAUCAGUACUUUUAUGAAGCAUGCAGUUCCAGCACGCAUUGCUGCAUGGCCUCAGAAGCUGGAUUUGGGGCAAGGUGAACCGGGAGAUGCCCUGUUUUACCCACCGCAGCACAGUGAGCCCAAGUGAUGGGAAGAGAGUUUGAAUGGAAGCCACUGUCUGGAGCACUGCUGUGGUAUCAAUCCAUUACCCCUGCCUCUGCAUACUGCAGAUUGCAGAAUUUCAUUCGCUAAGACCUGUGUGGAGCCUGAUAACUUUUGUUUAACUACAUAAAUCCAUAAAAGUGUUUAUUCUUGACUUGAAGACACAAAUAACCUAUUGCUUUCCUGGGCCAUUUCUCCUAUUGUUUGACUACCUUUGUAUUGAAAAAGAAAUCUGCAUUUUAAUCUUAAACAUAAUUUUGUUUCAGGAGCAGCUUCACUGGAAGUUAUUAUGCUCCUUCUUUUGAACCAAAUGUUUUUUUAGUGAACCAAACCCUCUCUGCUUGUGGAUCUUAAUAUACCUUUGCAGUUCAAUAAGUGGUUCGACUUCUGUCAACUUCAGCCUGCCAGAUCAUUUCUCGGUCCCCAAAAUCAUGGAUCCUCUUUGCUGCGCGUGUUAGAAGAGAAGAGCUCUGCAAGGUCCGGGAGCAGGCUGCCGUCGAAGGCAUGAGGAAAAUGGCAUCGAAAGAGGUAUUGGGAGUAACUGCUGAAGUCUCUAGUGCUACAGCAAUGAAAUACUGGAAUUGGGUGUCUGAAAUAAAUCUGUUUCAACUGAGCUCUGGCUCAAAAGCAGGUUACUGUGGCUUAAUGAAUUAUCCUGUGUUCGCUGAACAACAUGUGUCCUUACAUAAAAGAAAACCAUACUGUCUGAGUCGUGUGGCUACAGCUGAGGACCGAGGCUGCUGUAACAGUGGUGACAGAGCUGCGAACAAAAGUUCCAAGGAAAUAGAAGCUUCAGAGAAGGCUGUUGGCAGGUACCUUGAUGUUCUGGUCUCCCAAGACCACUUGGUCGUGGCUAUACAUGCCUGUGUUUCCUCAUUCUCUCAACAUUGCCUUCUCCCAUAUAUAUAUAUAUAUAUAUGUAUGUAUGUAUGUAUGUAUUAUUUUUUGCUACUGAUUGUCAUCAGGAUUAAUUUCCCCCAGUCACAGAAUCACAGAGAUGACAGUGUUAGGGAUGGGAAGGGGCCUUGAAAAAUCACGUAGACCAGUCCCCAAGCUAGAGCAGGAGAGAAGCAGAACUUUCAGUUCUGAUAGUUUGUGACUGUUUAACACAGGCAGGCAGCUAUACUGUGGGGCAAAUGUUAAGUGCAAUUUCAGUCAACCUGAAGCUGAGUUUGGGUUUGUUUUUCUUUGAACUAGAUACACAAAAUUCUAGAGCAAAUAACCUGCUGGGAAGUUUAGCAGUUAGCAUAUUUACUCAGUCUCAGCAAGUCUUAGGUUGGUUUCUAGCUUGCUGGGAAUCCUCCUUUUCCUGUCCCUACCAGAGGAAUUCAUUUUCCUAAGGCAAGGUGUCCUCGCUCUGUCUCUUUGGCGUUGUUUCUUCAGUAAAUCAGCGGGCAGUCAUUGCAGUCGGUGCAUUCAGCGACGUGUCCUACUCACACUGCAGCGAAUCCUUCCCAUGCCCUCUCUCUCUGCACGCUUUUUUCCAUCACGCUGCCUGGCACAGUGGCCAGAGGUGGUGGAGAAGACUCUCUCCAGUGGCCCCUUGCAGAAGAGGGCCGUCAUUCACACAGUGGUUAAAGCAGGCUCCCAGCCUUAAAUCAGGCAGCAGGUUUCCCUGAUCCACUUUAUUAAAGGUAGUAUUGCCUUUUCUUUACACGCGAGCACGCGGAACAAAACAUUUCAUUUCCAAGCAAAUGGAAUGUCAAGUGAAAUGAUGUGGUGGGGGGAUUCAGUUCUGCAGAGAUAAAAUAAAUAAAUAAAGUUCGAUCCA
rnacentral:lncRNA from 1 species